rnacentral:rRNA from 1 species
UCCUACGGGGGGCAGCAGUGGGGGAUAUUGCACAAUGGGGGGAACCCUGAUGCAGCGACGCCGCGUGGGUGAAGAAGCGCCUCGGCGCGUAAAGCCCUGUCAGCAGGGAAGAAAAUGACGGUACCUGGAGAAGAAGCCCCGGCUAACUACGUGCCAGCAGCCGCGGUAAUACGUAGGGGGCAAGCGUUAUCCGGAUUUACUGGGUGUAAAGGGGGCGCAGACGGCGAUGCAAGCCAGGAGUGAAAGCCCGGGGCCCAAUCCCGGGACUGCUAUUGGACCUGCGUGGCUGGAGUGUAG